rnacentral:misc_RNA from 1 species
GGGACUUAUAUUAAAAUCUAAAUUGUGUCCAGUUCACAAAAGUUACAUGUCGGUGAGUGAUGCCGGCAACGAAACAGUGGGCUCAUUUAGGUGCAGCAAAGGCAGUUGCCGGAAAAAGGCUAAUCUUUCAUAUAAUAUAUGGAUUUGCCCACCAUUGGUCGCAAGCAGCCGUAAGGCUUGAAAACCCCUAUAAAGGAACCACAUUGUCAAGUGUGACUAUAACAGAUUGGUAUAACUACUGUAGGGAGGCGGUAGUUUUAUAUGAAAUUGAUUUGCAGCAUUUUGUUGGUAAAAUUGGUGGUCCGGGGAAUGUCGUCCAAAUCGACGAAUCGAAAUUUGGAAAAAGAAAAUUUAAUAAAGGGAGGAGGAAGGAGGGUUGACGGUCAUUGGGUCCUUGGCAUGGUGGAAGAUGGUAGUGAGGACAUACGUCUUGAAGUGUGUCCGGAUAACGCUCGGUCUGCAGAGGUGCUCAUCCCUCUAAUCCGCAAGCAUGUUGUAGAGGGAACAACAAUCCAUACAGAUUGUUGGAAAGCCUACGACUGCUUGAAGGAUUACGGGUAUGUGCACCGGAAAGUUAACCACAGCGAUCCGGAGAAUCCGUUUGUAGCGCCGGAUGGGACACACACUCAAAGAAUUGAGUCGCAGUGGCGUGUAAUUAAAAGAAUUUCUCCGAUACUCUACCAGAGGUUCGUAGACUAUCUGAGAAAGAAAGUCGAAAGGUAGCACGACUUGUAAAUGACCUCGGGUCAAGCAAAAGAAAAAUCAUGAUCGAAAUCUAUGAAAACUCAAAGACACAAAGACAAACACAAGGAAAGAUAUCGAUAAUAUUAGCGCUAAAUAUAGGGACUCCGCUAAAGACACUUUGGAAGAGUGUUUAAAAUUCUUAAAAAGCGAAGGUAUUUUAAAUAAAAUACAUAUAUACACAUUAGGUUCUGUCUAAUUGAUUUUUACCUUUUCUUACUAUACAUAUAAUAAUUUUUACACAGGUGCUGAUACAUCAAUUCAUUGCUUUGAUAGAGAAUUAAAGGCAAUAUAUUUUUCAACAGCAGAGAUGAGGGCUGCAGUUCAAGCGUAUCCCGAAAUCAUAUUUAUAGAUGGGACCUAUAAGUUAAUGUCAAAUGGGUUUGUUUUAAUUCUGUUGUUAGUAGAAGAUUCCAACGGGGGAACACAAAUACGGACUUGUGCAGUGGUAGGCGAAAAAACUGCAAUUAACAUGUACUCUCUAAGGUGGUGAGAAUGCCCUCCAAAGUAGAGAUUUUUUUCGUGGACGCCGGAUGUCGACGUAAUUCGUGGAGAAAUACAAAUACUAAAUCGUCGCCUUCGAAUUAUUUGUUCUAAAAAAAGAUAAAAUAAAAACAACAGU